rnacentral:lncRNA from 1 species
UGAGCAAGAUGAAGCUUGGUGGACAAAACAAAAAACCUCAGAAAUUGAACUGUCAGGCGGACGGGCUAGAGUGAGACUUCAGGAUGUGCACACAAAUCGCCUGGGGCUUUGCUCUCACGCAGGGUCUGAUUCAGGAGGUCGGGAACCUGAGACCCCAGAUGGUGGACUGCUAACAAGCUCCCAGGUGAUGGGAUGCUACUGGUCCAGGGCCCACAGCUAAAGCAGCACAAGGGCUAGAUGAUGUCAAGGAUAGAUUCCAUUGCUCUUGAACACUCGGUGAUGUCGUUGGGAUCCUUAAACCUCAUCAGACCAGCCUCCACUGGACUCUUCCCCCUCCUGACCUGCAUCCUUCUUGCCUCUGUCCCUAUGUCACACUGACAUCUUGAACUUCCUUCGACUUUAGGGAAACUAGAGGCCUGUGUGUUAAUUUUGGACCCUUGACUUUGCUGGCUAUUGCAAAUCCUGAUAUAAGAGCAUCCUGGAUUUUCCUAGGAUGAGGCUAGGGGAGGUGUCAUAGGAUGCAAAGAGGCCGUGAGAAGAGCUGAAGGCACUCAGUGAGAAACAUGAAGGUCUCUGCAUAGGAAAUGAUGGGCACAAUCUCAAAUAGGCUUUCAAUCUCUCCCGAAAAGGUCCCCGCCCUGUGGGUUGCUCUGGUGAUCUAAGGCAGAAAUGGAAUCAUUCAGCUAUUUGAUAGAUACUCUUUGUCUAUCAUAUACCAGGCAAUAUUCUAGACUGGGGCUGUAACCAUGAGCAAGACAAAAUUACCUGCUCUAAUGGAGCUGCCUUCCAGGGAGAAAAAGAGAUAAGAAAUCAGUAAACAAACAAACAUACCAUGUAAAGUCAGGAAGCAAUAACGGCUGUGAAGAGAAGAAUUUAUCAAGUUCAGGGGACAGAGCUUGCUGGGGGAGGAGAGGGGGCUAAUUUAGCAAGAGUGGUCAGGACUCGCUGUUGUGGCUCAGCGCGGCAACAAACAUGACUGGUAUCCGUGAGGACAAAGGUUUGAUCCCUGACCUCACUCAGUGGGUUAAGGAUCCAGCAUUGCCAUGAGCUUAGUGUAGGUCACAGAUGUGGCUCAGAUCUGGCAUUGCUGUGAUGUGGUGUAGGCCGGUGGCUACAGCUCCGAUUCGACCCUUAUCCUGGGACAUUCCAUGUGCCACACAUAUGGCCAAAAAAAAAAAAGUAGUCAGAAAAACUGUCUCUGGGGAGUGACAUUUGAACAGAGACAUGGAUCAUAGAAAGGAGGGAGCCAUGCGCAUUGCUGGGGGAAGAGCGUUCCACGCAGAGGGAGAAGCUAGUGCUGGGGACCUCAGGUGGGAAUAAACUAGGAGCAACCAAGAUCAGCGGAAGGCCACUGUAGUUGGAGAGACCUUCAUAAGGGCAGGACCGGCUGGAGGCAAAGUCGGUAAGGGAGGCGGGCUGCUCGGAGCCUGGAAGGCUUUGGGAAAGUUGAGAUCUGUUCUAAGUGUGAUGGGAGUUCACAGGAAGAUUAUGAGCAGGAGACUCAUCCUCUUGGAUGUGUGCUUUUUAUGAAAUUCCAAGGUGCUGGAAAUCUGAAGUCAGACAGAGCCUAUGUUUAUAAAAAUCAUUUUACUGGAACCCAGCCACAUUCAUUAAUUUACAUAGAGCCACUGGCUGCUUUUGCAAAGAUGCAGUGGAGAAGCUGUCUCAGACCUCCCGGGCUGUCUUCUGCCAGGGUAUCAGAGGGACCUGUCUACAAUGUGAAUCUGACGAUGCCAAGCCUGCCUCCCGUCAUCUGCAGGUCAAGUUCAUGGUCCUUUUCAUGGCCUCCAAAUCUUUCGUGAUGUGGCUCCAGCCUCACUGUCUACUUUCCACGUUGUAAUCUGUGACUUGGGCAUGUUGAUCCUGUGCCAUUUUCCUUCUGUUUCUGUCUGAUGGUUCCCUCUAUGGCAGAAAGGCUCUCUUGCCCUAACCCCUUCCCUCAUUUGUUUGUCUCCGAUUUAUCCUUUAAGGCUCCACUUGGGUGUCUUUUCCCCAGAGGGCCCUCCCUGACCUGUCUAUGCAACCCCGUCCCCACUGGGAUACGCAGGUACCCCUCCUCAGAGUUCCUUUAACGCUCUCUGGAUCUAUUUACAUUGCUAGCUGAGUGUCCGUUCUUCUGUCUCUAUCCAUUAGAGUGAAAUCAACUCAAACUUCCUUAAGUAAUGAAGAAAUAGAAUGUAGACUCUUGCUGCUGGGAAGGCAGAGAUUGGUUGGACUUCAGGCUUGGCUUGAUCAGGAUGCUUUUGCUCAGUUUCUCUGUGAUUCAUUUUGACUUGUCCUUCCUCUGGGGGCUGGCACCAUCUCCACGCUGGACAUGUGACAGUUGUAAUGGUUUCAUUAUAUCCCAGGGCCAGAAAGAGACAGCAAAAUUUCCUUCUUGAUCUCAGUGACCUCUUUGAGCUCAGCUCUUUGCUUCUGAGUCAGUCUUGCUAGAUGGGAAGGCCAUGGGCUGAUCAGCUCAGGCCUGGGUUCCUGCAGUAACCAGUUCUUGGCAAGGUGAAGGGGGUUCUCAGGAGCCUUGUGCCCAGUCCUCAAGCCAGGAAUGGGGUCAGCUUGUCCCAGGGCCUGUAGGCAGCCCAAGACAGGUAGCUGAGCAAUAGCAGGUGUCUGUGAAGAAGAAAGAAGGACUAGAUGCCGAGGAAGCCAUCAACAGUGUCUUAUGCUGUACUUGAAUCCACUGUUAGAGGAAUCUCCUUGAAGGCUAUGAUGCUGCCUCUUUCAUCUUCACACUCCAGACAACCCAGGCCAUUGGCUAACAUAGAGUAGACAUGCAGGAAAAAUGUGUUGAGUGACGGAAUUGUAAUAACAUUAUAUAUAACCUAGAAAGAAGACAACGUCAGAGAAAAACCGCACUUGAGCCAAAUGCAGGAAAUCAACGUAAAAUUCACAGCACUUUUUUCCCUACCUACCUGGCCAAGGUCGCUCUAUGUUAUUCCAGAUGACUUAUGUCCUCUCAAUGAUAGAAAUACUAUUAUCAAUGAUUAAAAUUGAGUAGACGCCUCAUGGACAAAGAUUCAAAGGACAAUGAGCAUCACGGAGAAUGCAGACUGAUGGGCAGCCAGGGAAAAGCAUACUGAGCCAUGGUCCCCACCUUCUGCUGGUGGCUGCUGAGGGCAACCGCUCCAAUUAAGUAACAGAAGGCAGAGAUUCACUGAGUUCAGAUAAUACCCAGAUGUUCCGAAGCUGUUGAAUGAAUGAUUCCUUGGAACUUAACCAUUGUAUUCAAAGUCCCUCAGGGGACACAAACACUUAGACUUAACUAAGGUUUCUUUUGGCACUUGGCACCUCGCUCUGAGUGGGCAGGGUGGUGGCAGGAAAUCUGUGCUGAUCUCUACUAGCCAGCAGCCUGUUGGUAUGGGCAACUUUGGUAACAAGGGAUGGGAACCCAACUAGAACCAGCCCAGCCAGAGAUUUCCAAGUUGCUCUCAGAGUCAACGGAAGAGCUGAAAUCCAAGCCUUGGGAAAGAAGGGCAGAUAUAGGCACAGACAGAUCUGAGCUCCCCCAAGAUUCACUUAUUCUUCCUCUCGCUCUUCCCUCUCUCUGAUUUUGGGCCUCGCUCUUCCCCUUGUUUUCUAUACCAGACUGGCUUCAAUGCAUCCACAAUUCCUUGCUUUUCUUUUUCUCAGUCUGGCCUCUGGAGAAACAAAAACUCUCAGGAAAUCUUCCGUUAGGACCACACCUGGACGAUAUCCACAGAGUCUGGACCCGUUGGUGGCCAUGGACCAUCAUCCAAUUAUUGGGCCAGCCUGGGUGAACGAUCUACCCUCAGACCAAUUACUGAGGCCGGUGGGCUGGGUUCAUGCACCUGCUUUGCACCUGUUGUGGAGGCCUUAGGAGGAGGUGAGCGCAGACCCUGGGGCUUCUUUUCAGCUGCACAGUCUUGGGUACGUUAUUUAACCCCUCUUGCCCAAUCUGUCACUUAUCUGAAAAUGGAGAUGAGAAUAAUAUGGACGUUGUGAUGUCCCUGUCUAUAUCUUUAUAUCUAUACAUAGCUUUUCUACAUGUAAGGACUAAACACUGUGUGUGUAUAAUGUCU